rnacentral:sRNA from 1 species
GGCAAACAUAUACCACGCAACGUAAC